rnacentral:misc_RNA from 1 species
GACAGUCCCAAAAUGCAAUAUGUUCAUAAAAUUCAAAGGAUUACACAAAGAUAUCCAUCAAUUCGACUCCCAUUUCAGAUAUAACCAUCAAUUCGAUUCCAUUUCAUCAUCGUUUCAAUCCAGCAGUAGACACCCAACCACACAAUACAUUUUCAGGACUCCACGAUCGCCAAGAAACAGAUCAGGAACUAGAGCAGCACAUACGGCGACCACCACUCAGUGCUUAUUCCUCGGCGAGGUCCUCCUUGACCCAGCCGCCGACAAGGGCGCCGCGGCUGUUGCAGCAGCCUUCCUCUUUGGCGACAACCUCGCCGGCGCCCCAGCAGCGGGUACAGAAGCCUUCCUCUUUGGCGAAGCCCUCGGCACGGUAGCCUUCCUCUUUGUUGACGUCGUCGCCGGCGUCGCGGCACCCGGCUUCUGCUUGCUCUCCAACACCAGCUGCUGCUGCUGCUCCGCGGCGAUGCGGUCGAACUCGUCGCUGAGCUUCCUCGCGCGCCUCUUCUUGGCGGCGGUGACGAUGGCCGCGAGGGGCUCGUCCUCCUCCGACUCGCCGGACCCGUCGGAGUCCUCGUCGUCGUCGACAAGCUCACGCUUCAGGGCCCGCUCCCGCGCCGCCACCUCCUGCUCGUCCUCGGAGUCGCCGCUGGAGGCGUCGUCGUCGGACCCAAGCGCGGCGAGCGAAGCCGGCAUGUGGCCAGCGGCGCGGGCCUUGGCCUUGGCCUUGACCCUGGCAUCGCGGUGCGCGCGGCGGCGGAGCUUGUCGACGGAGCCCUCGAUGCGGCCCUGCAGGCGGAGGCGCUUCACGCUGAUGCCGCCCAUGGACCAGUGCGCUUCGCGCGCCCACUCGAGCAGCGGGUCGGUGACGGACGCCGGCGGGUCCACGCGGUCGCCCGGGAAGAAGCGCGGCCUCGGCAGGCCGCUGCCGUAGAACCGGCCGGGCCCGAGCGCCACCACCAUACUGGACUGUCCCUCUCGGUUAGUUGUGGCUCUGUCGCUCUAGCGUAGAUCUGCCCUCUCUCUCUCUCUCUCUCUAGAUCUCUGUAAUUGCGAACGUGGCGUGGUCUGUGGAGGAGAGAGGAAUCGUGAGGGAGUUUAUAGGAGAAGAGGAAGCGCGGCGGGAAAGGAUAGGCGAGUUUGGCGCCAAGAAAAUGGCGGUAAAAUGC